rnacentral:rRNA from 1 species
AGAGUUUGAUCCUGGCUCAGAUUGAACGCUGGCGGCAUGCCUUACACAUGCAAGUCGAACGGCAGCACGGGGGCAACCCUGGUGGCGAGUGGCGAACGGGUGAGUAAUAUAUCGGAACGUGCCCUAGAGUGGGGGACAACCAGUCGAAAGACUGGCUAAUACCGCAUACGAUCUAWGGAUGAAAGUGGGGGACCGCAAGGCCUCACGCUCCUGGAGCGGCCGAUAUCUGAUUAGCUAGUUGGUGGGGUAAAAGCCCACCAAGGCUUCGAUCAGUAGCUGGUCUGAGAGGACGAUCAGCCACACUGGGACUGAGACACGGCCCAGACUCCUACGGGAGGCAGCAGUGGGGAAUUUUGGACAAUGGGCGUAAAGCCUGAUCCAGCCAUGCCGCGUGUGUGAAGAAGGUCUUCGGAUUGUAAAGCACUUUAAGUUGGGAGGAAGGGCAUUAACCUAAUACGUUAGUGUUUUGACGUUACCGACAGAAUAAGCACCGGCUAACUCUGUGCCAGCAGCCGCGGUAAUA